UGUUUGUAGUGAGAUAAGUUCUUAUAUUUGGUCCAGACGGCUGGUAAGUUUUCGUCUGCCAGAUAUCUUUACUCAAACACUUUUCUUGCUUCCUGUCUAAAACGCUGUAUUUUUUCUGACAUCUUGUACGAAGGUAAGCGUACCCGUCAAAAGAUUUCAUGUUCUCAUUAUACAGAUAAUAUUGUGAUAUUGUCAAUGACUAAUUAACUGGUGUUAGCUAAUGCAUGCAUAGAAAGUUUUUGUAAAUUGCAUUUUUUUUGUUGUGAAAUUUCAUAGAAAGUCUUUUUGUUGUGAAAUUGCAUAGAAGGUUUUUUUUGUAAACUGCAUUUUUGUUGUGAUAUUGCAUAGACAGUUGUUGUGGGUUGUUGUGGAAAUUGCGUAGAAAGCUGGUGUAGAUUGCAUUUUUACUAUGGGAGGGACCUAUGUAUAAGUAGAGUGUCGUAUAUUUUAGAUAAUUUUCUUUUAAAAGUUGUACUGUUGAUUUAUAUUACUGUCUGACAAUGGGCUCUAGUCAGAGUAAAAAAACUGCAUAUCCCCCGCCCCUCCCUGGUGAGACAUGCAGGAUGUAUGUUGCCCGUAACUCUACCUCAGAGUAUUAUUUAGUUAACCCAUGGGUGGAUAAUUUAGCGGGAUGGACAGAGAAAGCAGGACGGGACCCAUUCCUACGGGAAGGCAGUAAUUACCUUUUCUAUAUGGAGAUUUAAGAAAAAAUGUCAGUUUCCAAUAGCACAGAAGCGAAGCUGCAGAGGAAUUGAACCUACACACCCCUUUAAAGUCGGAGACAGAGUCGUGGUGAAGGUGCUCCCCAGGAACAAGAGCCCAGGAGACUUCACCUAUGGUCCAGAGACAGAGGUCGUAGCAGUUACCCGAACAGCAGUCCUGACAGAGGAAAGUCCUACCUGGAUCCAUGCAUCCCGAGUAAAAAAAAAGGUUCCUAGACCAGACCUAGAGAGGGAAGCAAGUGAUUCCAGUGAGGUACGAACCGGGGCAGACAGCCCUGACCUCCCACCUAGCGAAGAAAGAAGAACAGAAGAAGAUGAGGAACCUGUCCCCUAUCUUUAUCCUGGGGACUACCUUGAUAGCCCUACUGGCCCUCACUCACCACACAAUAUGUGAGGUUGAUAUUACACAGACUAAUGGGAUCCCCACCUUGUGGUACAAUUCCUCCAAUACACACGUAGCCACAUAUAUCCUUGACUAUUUUAUGUUCCCCAAAAUUGCUGAUGACAAAUAUUAUAUACAACAAAGGAGGAAAUCAGGAAUGUCUGAGACAGUAUAUAUUUGUGUUACUGACGAAUGGUACUAUGACAAUAGAUAUUAUGGAUCUAAUUGUAAUUCCUGGGAAGCUGUGGGGUGGAAUACAGGAGUAGAUUGGAAAUAUGGCCCAUCGUUUGCAAAGAAUAGAUGGAGCAAAUAUGGAGUACCCCUACUUUCUAGACUAUCCAUUCAUAAGAUGGAUGAAGGCCCAAAUUCAUACAGGUUUAGACUAAACAUAGUGAACCCUAGCAGAAGCGACAAUGAGACUUAUGUACUUGGUAUAUGGUGGCAAGCAGGGUAUUAUAGUGCAAGGCAAAUGUUUUAUUUAUGGGAUAUGUAUAAAAACCCAAAAUACCAGCCUAAAAUUGCUCCCCAAAACAAACCUUUAAAGCCCCAUAUUGCCACUUUUAAAGAUAUGGUGGCUAUUACUAACCCUACCUUUGAAGACACCCUAGCUAUUGAAACUGGUUUCUCUGACAUUAAUUUUUGGUUGGAAUGGAUGAAGUAUAGUGCUAACAAACACAAUAAAAGCAACUGUUAUGUCUGUGGCAAAUCUAGGCCCCACCUAGGUACAGUGCCCCUUAAUAUACCCCUAGAACAAGAAAAUUGUUUUUUUCAGCCUUUUUAAUGACACCAAAACAAAUGACAGUCAGUGCGAAAUGUGGAAAAGGGAAUAUCCCAUAUUGUCAAAAAAUCCCAACCCAGGAAGCACCAUAACCAUAUAUCCUGGAAACUACACUUGUUAUACAUCUAACACCACAACAGGGAGAAAUUUAAAAACCUUCCCACCAGGGUAUUGUGCAAAUAAAAGAACAACUGUUUUAGUCAACCAAACUAGAUCAUUAGGCGACAUUUAUUACAUAUGUGGGAAACUGUAAAUAAAAACGUAGCCUGGAUUAAUUAUAUAUAUUAUAAUCAACAAAGAUUUGUUAAUGAUACCAAAGAUGCUCUUAAAGGUAUAGCUGAACAGCUAGAAGCCACUUCCCAAAUGACAUUUCAAAAUAGAAUGGCCCUUGACAUGAUUCUAGCAGAAAAAGGCGGUACAUGUGUUUACAUUAGUAAGGUGGAAGGCUGUUGUACAUAUAUUCCUGACAACACUGGUCCCAAUGGUAAGGUUACUUUAGCCAUAAACAAGUUAGAAACCUUAUCCAUAGAACUUAAGAAAAAUUCAGGUAUUGAUAACCCAUGGAGCCAAUAUUUUGGGUGGUUUGAAAAUUGGAAACAGGCUCUUGUGCAAAUAAGCAUAUUCAUACUUGUAACUUUAAUUCUUGUAGGCAUUAUAGUUUAUUGUGUAAUUCCCUGUGGAAAGAAACUUACCUCCAAAGGCAUUGAUAAGGCCCUGAUGUAUUAUGACAUAACCACCAGUCCUGUCACCUCCUCUGAUAGUAAAGGACCCGACGAUUAUGUCCAAUAUCUCAAGAACUGGAGAAACAAGAAAGGAGCCUCACUCAAGAAUCAUGUCAUAUAAUAAUCAUGAUUCUAAGAGGGGAUUGAAGGGUUACCUCUUCUGUCUUUGUACAUAUUACUUUUUAUAUGAUCAGUUUCCUUAUAAUAAUUACAGUGUAAAAGUGAAUAUUUCUAUUUCCCUAGUGAAGGGUUAAAACAUGCUUUAUGAACUCUUAUGUGUUUGCAAUGGAUGCUGCUGCCCUGUGUUAGAUGCCUUUGUCUCUCAUACAGAUACCAGGCUUGUGUGGGUCUGGCAUCCAAGGUCAGCUCUCUACUAAAUGAAACCUGCUUUUUCUACUUCUGUGUGUUACUAAAAGAUCCUUUGUUAAGUUUCGUCUGAUGCAACAUAUAUAACAUCUGCCUGGCAACUGCUAUAUCCAAUUAUGUUAUGUCAAGUAUUAACCACCCCUACGUACCCCACCCAGGCACCUACCCCUAAGCCAAUGAGCCCUUUUACACUUGUCAGUUCCACCCAUAUGCAUUGUCUUAUAUACUCUUGUUAACUUUAUAAUAAACAGUGUGAAUUUUAA